rnacentral:tRNA from 1 species
GGAUAGGUGCAGGAGUGGUUGAUCUGGCUACCCUGGAAAGGUAGUGUACUCGCAAGGGUACCGUGGGUUCGAAUCCCACCCUCUCCGCCA